UACGUAGGGUGCAAGCGUUAAUCGGAAUUACUGGGCGUAAAGGGUGCGUAGGCGGUUAGUUAAGUCUGUUGUGAAAUCCCCGGGCUCAACCUGGGAAUGGCAAUGGAUACUGGCUGGCUAGAGUGUGUCAGAGGAUGGUGGAAUUCCCGGUGUAGCGGUGGAAUGCGCAGAUAUCAGGAGGAACACCCAUAGCGAAGGCAGCUUGCUGGGACGUUACUGACGCUAAGGCGCGAAAGCGUGGGGAGCGAACAGG
rnacentral:rRNA from 1 species